GAUUCCCCUAGUAACGGCGAGUGAAGAGGGAAAAGCCCAGCACCGAAGCCUGCGGCAGUUUUGCUGUUAGGCAAUGUGGUGUUUAGGUCGGCUCGCGGGACUGCUGCUCCAUUCUAAGUCCAGCUUUGAGUAUGGCUUCUGGACUUGGCCCACAGAGGGUGAAAGGCCCGUUCGAAUGGAGGAUAAGAGAAGUGAGUAGUCCACUAUGCCGGCCUUCGAGUCGGGUUGUUUGAGAAUGCAGCCCAAAGAGGGUGGUAGACUCCAUCCAAGGCUAAAUACUAGCACGAGUCCGAUAGCGAACAAGUACCGUGAGGGAAAGUUGAAAAGUACUUUGAAGAGAGAGUAAACAGUACGUGAAACCGCAUAGAGGUAAACGGGUGGCGUCAAGCUGCACGCUUAGAGGAUUCAGUCGGUCAGGAUGUUGUGUAUGCGCCUGGCGCAUCUAUCAGUCGGAGUGAGAUAAAGUAGUCCGUUGGGUAACAGCGGGCCCGGCCGAAAGGCUGGGAUUUGUAUUCCGUGUUAUGUGCGGAGCUUGCUACUUGUCUAUGGACUGCCUGGCCGAUGCAUUUUCUCUGUGGCGAACACCACGACCGGUGGUACUGCCAGUCUGCUGUGGUAAAGUCGGGUUCAGUCGGCCUUGUGUUGGUUGAGCUUGAUCAUAGGCAAGCGGUGUGCGGGUGCGUACGUACUUGUACACCGCUUUGUCAACGGGUCUGUUUGCUGACGAUUGUAGUAGUUGGCGAAUGGCCUGGUGGACCAUGGUGGUAAGAAUAACUGUGCAGGGCACCGGUGAUUUCGGUCUCUAAUUUGGCUCGCUCACACACUACAAGUGGGUGUGGGUCGUCGUUGCAGUCUGCCUGUGAUUGGGUUUGAUUGUCGUGUUGCCUGCGCAAAGUAGGUCCGGCAGUAGCCUGAUUUUGGAUGGUAUUGCUAGCGGCGUCUCUUCUGCGGGCUGAUGAGGGCC
rnacentral:rRNA from 1 species